AAAAAAGCGGAGGAAAAGAAACCAACAGGGAUUGCCUCAGUAACGGCGAGUGAAGCGGCAACAGCUCAAAUUUGAAAUCUGGCUCCCUUGGGGGUCCGAAUUGUAAUUUGCAGAGGAUGCCUCGGGUGCGGGUUCCUUCCGAGUUCCCUGGAACGGGACGCCAUAGAGGGUGAGAGCCCCGUCUGGUCGGAAACCCAGCCCAUGUGAGGCUCCCUCGACGAGUCGAGUAGUUUGGGAAUGCUGCUCUAAGGGGAGGUAUACUCCUUCCAAGGCUAAAUACCGGCUAGAGACCGAUAGCGCACAAGUAGAGUGAUCGAAAGAUGAAAAGCACUUUGAAAAGAGAGUCAAAUAGCACGUGAAAUUGCUGAAAGGGAAGCGCUUAUUACCAGACUUGGGUUCGGCGGUUCAACCGGCGCCACGCGCCGGGGCACUCCGCCGGCCCAGGCCAGCAUCAGCUCUCCGUCGGGGGCAAAGGCGUCGGGAAUGUAGCUCCCCCUCGGGGGAGUGUUAUAGCCCGGCGUGUCAUACCCUUCGGGGGGCUGAGGUCCGCGCUCCGCAAGGAUGCUGGCGUAAUGGUAAUCAGUGACCCGUCUUGA
rnacentral:rRNA from 1 species